rnacentral:rRNA from 1 species
CAGCUAGCUUAGCACCAAAUAAAUAAACAAUAUAAAUAAAACAAAAUAAACCUAACACCAAAAACUAAACCAUUCUUUUACCUUAGUAUGGGAGACAGAAAAGGUCCCACCAAAGCAAUAGAAAAAGUACCGCAAGGGAAAGCUGAAAGAGAAAUGAAAUAACCCAUAUAAGCAUUAAAAAGCAAAGAUUAAGCCUUGUACCUUUUGCAUCAUGAUUUAGCCAGUACACCCAAGCAAAGAGACCUUUAGUUUGAAACCCCGAAACCAGGUGAGCUACCCCGAGACAGCCUAUUAUAGGGCCAACCCGUCUCUGUGGCAAAAGAGUGGGAAGAGCUCCGGGUAGAAGUGACAGACCUACCGAACCUGGUGAUAGCUGGUUGCCUAAGAAAUGGAUAGAAGUUCAGCCUCGUACACCUCUAAUCAAACAAACAUAAAUAAGACCCUAAGAGAUAUGCACGAGAGUUAGUUGAAGGGGGUACAGCCCCUUUAACAAAGGACACAACCUUCUCAGGAGGAUAAAGAUCAUAAUAUACAAAACACACUGUUCUAGUGGGCCUAAAAGCAGCCAUCUAAACAGAAAGCGUUAAAGCUCAGACAGACAAAAGUUUAUUAUUCCGAUAAAAAAUCUUACUCCCCUAAACACUAUUAGGCCCACCCAUGCCCCCAUGGGAGAGAUUAUGCUAAAAUGAGUAACAAGAAGGCCCGCCCUUCUCCAAGCACAAGUGUAAGCCAAACCGGACCAACCAUUGGCAACUAACGAACUCAACCCAAGAGAGCAAUGUGGACUACAAAAAAACCAAGAAGAACCCACAACCAAACCAUCGUUACCCCCACACUGGAGUGCACCUAAAGGAAAGACUAAAAGAAAAGGAAGGAACUCGGCAAACACAAGCCUCGCCUGUUUACCAAAAACAUCGCCUCCUGCAACACAACCAAGUAUAGGAGGUCCAGCCUGCCCGGUGACCACAAGUUUAACGGCCGCGGUAUUUUGACCGUGCAAAGGUAGCGCAAUCACUUGUCUUUUAAAUAGAGACCUGUAUGAAUGGCCAAACGAGGGCUUAACUGUCUCCCCUUUCCAGUCAGUGAAAUUGAUCUGCCCGUGCAGAAGCGAC